rnacentral:lncRNA from 1 species
AAGUUUAAUUUCUGUGGGUUUUGUCUUAUUUGGAAGAAUCAUAUUAAAAAUAUGCAGAAUCAGCAUUGCCUGUUCAAACCAUGACUAUUCUUCAUGCAGGUUUUCCUCAUUUUGUUUCUGGAGUGGUCCUGUUCAGCUGUGCAUUUGGAGAGCAUUCUGGAUUACUCAUGUUGUGGUAGACAUUCUGCAGUUCUACUGCCAGGUUCCAGCUCAUUUUCAGAGGAACAGCCAAGUACUCCACAUGGUCAGCACUGACACAACUCAGUUUUAUAUACACAGCCACCACUCAUGUGAGAAAGAGCUCACAUAUUUGGGGAUAUACUAGGACCAUGGAGAGUGCUUCCAUUAGCCCUGAGGGGCAUCCCUCCAGGCCCUGCGUGUGGCAGAAAGCAUUUAAAGUAAAUAUGUAUUUGCAAAGAAAAAGUCAUAUGUAUGUGUAUGUGUAUGUAUGUGUACAUGCAUGUGCAUGUUGAAGCUGAAGCUGCUAAGCUGAAGACUAGAUGAAUGUGCAAGUGAUUUAUGUGUGAAAUUCCCCUCAAGGAAAUGUUUUAUUUUUCUGGUUCUGUAUACAUUCCACACUUCUUGUAAGUUGUUCUUUGUCUGCAAUGAAAAACGGUUUGCUUAAGGAGAUUUUGAUGGACAUGUCAGUUUGUAUGGAUUUUUUGAAGUGGUAUCCUGAAAUAGGACUUUUAAAUCUUUUGAUAGCAGAAAAAUAACUGAGUCCUCCUCUCCUCACACUGCAUAGAAACACCUUGCCAGCCAUUUACCUUUUCUUGUAUCGCUUACAUCUCUCAUGUUUCUUGUAGCAACAGCAGCAAUUGCACACAGACACAAUUUUGCAGAAAGUGUAAUGUGUUUUUAUCUGGCAGCUACACUUGGCAGGCCUCUCUUAAGAGCCUUAGUAACUCUGUACAUCCC